rnacentral:rRNA from 1 species
GACGAACGCUGGCGGCGUGCUUAACACAUGCAAGUCGAGCGGUAAGGCCCUUCGGGUACGACGAGCGGCGAACGGGUGAGUAACACGUGGGUGACCUGCCUCUAGCUCUGGGAUAAGCCUGGGAAACUGGGUCUAAUACCGGAUAUGACUCCACGGCGCAUGUUGUGGGGUGGAAAGCCUUGUGUGGCUAGAGAUGGGCCCGCGGCCUAUCAGCUUGUUGGUGGGGUGAUGGCCUACCAAGGCGACGACGGGUAGCCGGCCUGAGAGGGCGACCGGCCACACUGGGACUGAGACACGGCCCAGACUCCUACGGGAGGCAGCAGUGGGGAAUCUUGCGCAAUGGGCGAAAGCCUGACGCAGCGACGCCGCGUGAGGGAUGACGGCCUCGGUGUAA